rnacentral:rRNA from 1 species
GAUGAACGCUGGCGGCGUGCCUAAUACAUGCCAGUCGAGCGAACGGACGAGAAGCUUGCUUCUCUGAUGUUAGCGGCGGACGGGUGAGUAACACGUGGAUAACCUACCUAUAAGACUGGGAUAACUUCGGGAAACCGGAGCUAAUACCGGAUGAUAUUUUGAACCGCAUGGUUCAAAAGUGAAAGACGGUCUUGCUGUCACUUAUAGAUGGAUCCGCGCUGCAUUAGCUAGUUGGUAAGGUAACGGCUUACCAAGGCAACGAUGCAUAGCCGACUUGAGAGGGUGAUCGGCCACACUGGAACUGAGACACGGUCCAGACUCCUACGGGAGGCAGCAGUAGGGAAUCUUCCGCAAUGGGCGAAAGCCUGACGGAGCAACGCCGCGUGAGUGAUGAAGGUCUUCGGAUCGUAAAACUCUGUUAUUAGGGAAGAACAUAUGUGUAAGUAACUGUGCACAUCUUGACGGUACCUAAUCAGAAAGCCACGGCUAACUACGUG